rnacentral:rRNA from 1 species
GACGAACGCUGGCGGCGUGCUUAACACAUGCAAGUCGAACGGAAAGGCCCCUUUGGGGGUACUCGAGUGGCGAACGGGUGAGUAACACGUGAGUAACCUGCCCUUGACUUCGGGAUAACUUCAGGAAACUGGGGCUAAUACCGGAUAGGAAUCCUUGCUGCAUGGUGGGGGUUGGAAAGCUUCGGCGGUUUUGGAUGGACUCGCGGCUUAUCAGCUUGUUGGUGGGGUAGUGGCUUACCAAGGCUUUGACGGGUAGCCGGCCUGAGAGGGCGACCGGCCACAUUGGGACUGAGAUACGGCCCAGACUCCUACGGGAGGCAGCAGUGGAGAAUAUUGCACAAUGGGCGGAAGCCUGAUGCAGCAACGCCGCGUGCGGGAUGACGGCCUUCGGGUUGUAAACCGCUUUCAGCAGGGGCGAAGCUUGUGGUGACGGUACCUGCAGAAGAAGCACCGGCUAACUACGUG